rnacentral:rRNA from 1 species
UACGUAGGUGGCAAGCGUUGUCCGGAAUUAUUGGGCGUAAAGCGCGCGCAGGCGGUUCUUUAAGGCUGAUGUGAAAGCCCACGGCUCAACCGUGGAGGGUCAUUGGAAACUGGAGAACUUGAGUACAGAAGAGGAAAGCGGAAUUCCACGUGUAGCGGUGAAAUGCGUAGAGAUGUGGAGGAACACCAGUCGCGAAGGCGGCUUUCUGGUCUGUAACUGACGCUGAGGCGCGAAAGCGUGGGGAGCAAACAGG